rnacentral:rRNA from 1 species
CCUACGGGUGGCAGCAGUGAGGAAUAUUGGUCAAUGGACGCAAGUCUGAACCAGCCAUGCCGCGUGCAGGAAGACGGCUCUAUGAGUUGUAAACUGCUUUUGUACGAGGGUAAACGCAGAUACGCGUAUCUGUCUGAAAGUAUCGUACGAAUAAGGAUCGGCUAACUCCGUGCCAGCAGCCGCGGUAAUACGGAGGAUUCAAGCGUUAUCCGGAUUUAUUGGGGUUAAAGGGUGCGUAGGCGGUCGGAUAAGUUAGAGGUGAAAUCCCGAGGCUCAACUUCGGAAUUGCCUCUGAUACUGUGCGGCUAGAGAGUAGUAGCGGUAGGCGGAAUGUAUGGUGUAGCGGUGAAAUGCUUAGAGAUCAUACAGAACACCGAUUGCGAAGGCAGCUUACCAAGCUACUUCUGACGCUGAGGCACGAAAGCGUGGGGAGCAAACAGGAUUAGAUACCCCUGUAGUC